GUGUAGUCUGGCGGGAGCCGUCCCGGCUGGGCUGGCUCGGCAGCUCCAGGCUAUUCCGAGGAACAGUCUUCAGAGAGCCUGGGGUGCUGAUGGGGAAAAGCUGUUGCUGAGAUUUGACAAGUUUGGUCCUGAGAUGUCAGAAAGGAUUUCAGCUCUUCUGCCACCCCAAGGACCGUGGCGCGUAAAUCACAAGGACAAUGAAUCCAGGCAGUGAUCCACCAAUGAUAACUAACAUCAUAAAAAGAUACAUGGCCGGAUAUGAUGUUCCUUCUGACGGAAGACCACAACACCUGCUGAAAAAUCAAAUCUGAAUCGGAUCAAGCCUCUAGAGGAGGCAGCACCCAGGGUCAUUCUUGGAGCAUAAACGAUCCCUGCAGAACAUGGGCUAGAAGACCCCACAGUGGGGCAGAGGCAGGUCCUGGACUGGGAUCCCAGCAGUGAGAAGACCUGGACAUCAACCCUAUUUCAUUGUGUGGCCUCUGCAAAUCUCCCAACUUUUGGAGCUGUAGCUGCAAGCUCAGACUUGUGGUUUCCUGUACCUGGAGGAGGCCCAGGUCAUUCUGUUAAGUCCCUUGUCUAUUUCCUGUUUUUAUCUGGAUGCUGAGUUAAUUAUUUGAUCCAGCAAUAAAACUAACAAGGUUUUA